rnacentral:rRNA from 1 species
UACGAAGGGUGCAAGCGUUACUCGGAAUUACUGGGCGUAAAGCGUGCGUAGGCGGUUUGUUAAGUCUGUCGUGAAAGCCCUGGGCUCAACCUGGGAAUUGCGAUGGAUACUGGCAAGCUAGAGUACGGUAGAGGAUGGUGGAAUUCCCGGUGUAGCGGUGAAAUGCGUAGAGAUCGGGAGGAACACCCGUGGCGAAGGCGGCCAUCUGGACCAGUACUGACGCUGAGGCACGAAAGCCGGGGGAGCAAACAGG